rnacentral:misc_RNA from 1 species
UUUGACGCGUACCAUGCGUACAAGCAUACAUAGGAGAACGGCAGUUGGAGUGGUUGGAAGUUACGAGUAGAGCACAAUACACGUCAGGUUCUUAUUUUGAUUCGUGGAGGGGGCUCACCUCGAGGAAACGGGUGGCCAAUUCGAAAGGAUUUGCCAGGAAAGUGCAGGAUACAGAUCUCCAAACACAGAUUAAACAUGAUACGCGCUGAAAAUGGAGAUGUUGUAUAUUUGGAACAGUUAAAAAACCCGAUAGAGAGUGACGCGACAGAGAAGGCAGUGUCAAAAAAGUGCGAGGGGCAGCUGUCUUCAGUAAAGGCAAACAGCUGUUCGUCCUACAAAGGUGCAAAUCGUACGACAGAAAUGGCGCAAGAGGACAAUAAUCUGUGCUGGAAUAAUCUGCCCAGCAUUAUCCUACAGGAAAUAUACUCAUAUUUAUCUCACAACUGCCGGUUACGAGUAUCUCAGGUCUGCAAAAAUUGGAGAUAUGCUCUGUUUCAUCCUCAUUUUUGGAAAAAGAUCACAUUUGUUUUGAAAGAUGAAGAAAGUGCAUCAUGGUCUCGAUAUUUGGCAGACAAUUUUGAACUUAGUGUGCAAGAAGUUACAAUCAUCUGUGAUAUAUCAAAUUAUUGUGCAAAAGAAACAUUAGCCCUCUUGAGAAAACUAAAACAUAAUAGACAACUUCGUAAAUUGUUUUUGAAACCUAGCAAUAGUACCUUUGAAUGCGAAGAUAGUACAAAAUGCACUAAAGAAUUGGUAUCUUCUCUUAUAAACAUUAUAAAAAGAUCUGAUCAUUUAGAAGCUUUGAGUUUGGGAUGCAUAGAAGAUUUAACAGGAAAUGCCAGACUAAUUCUGGUACAUUUACGUAACUGCCAAGCAAAGCACUUAACAACUCUUAGUUUGGCAUCUGUUAAAGAUGAUCCUGAUGAUUACAAUGCUUUGAAUUCUGGUUAUGGACAUAUGUUCAAUUCAUUCGCUAGAUUAUCUAUUUUAACAUUGGAUUAUGAGUUCCUAAGUGAUUCUUUACUAAAGGCAUUGAAUAGCGGUACAAUGGAAAGACUUGUAAUUCACGUGCAUGGUUGGCAUUAUCAGUAUACGGGACCAACUGAUAGUAGUUGGCAAGUUUUUGUUCAAAAAAAUCCAAAAUGCGAGUUGCGAUUAAAUCUUAUACACUCUUAUGUUGGAAUUGAGAAAUUAGAUACAAAUAUACUUCGUCCUUCCAUGCCUCUUACACAUUUGAAAGUAUUAUUUUGUGAAACUGUUAAUAUCAGAGCAUUGCAUCGGCUAUCCAGAUGGUAUUCACGUACUUUAAAAUCUUUAAUAUUAAUUGAUUCAGUGCAACCUACAACAAGAAAUAUGCCAGCAACAUAUGAUCCAAGUUAUCCUCAUAGCCCUGAUCCAUUAGUAUUAGUUGCAUGGAAAUGUACUAAGCUUGUGGAAAUUGUAUUAUUAGGCCACAAAUAUCAUCAGGAAAACUUAUUAGCUAUUGCACGUCUUCGGGGACAUUCGCUUAAGUCAUUAGUAUUUGCACAAAGAUUUAUUACAUCUGGCAUUGAAUCUUGGUAUAAGGCUGAAACUAUCACACAUGAAAUAAAAGAAAUAAUGGGAAGCCAAUGGGAACCAUUAAGUGAUGCAGAUUUACCUACAGUUGUUAAAAAUCCUCUUGAUGGUGAUAGCAGGGAAGUUAUCAUGCCAUUGGUCCUUCGCGACCAAAAGUAAAUUCUAAUUUAUACCAAGAAAAGAUUACUCCCCGAUAUCGUACGCUACCGAUCAACAUCAUCAACAAUUUCUGGGCGAGCUACAUUCUCAGAAGUAAAGUUAUAAAGUUAUAUCCUUUAUUUUUCUAUAAGAAUUGUUUUUACGAGAACUACGGAUGUAACAUCAAAUGGUGGACAUGUAUAAAUUCGUAGUUUAAAGUCAGUAAUUGAUGGAUGCAAUAUUACCUGUCAGAUAUUAAGAAUAAAACAUUAUAAGACGAUACGAAGAAGAAGGCCUCAUCAAAAUGGACCUUCGAUGUGUCAUAUACUUGUUGAUAUCAUGGAAAAACAAUUAAAAAAAUACGUUACUAUCAAUGAGAGCUGAUCAUCGUAUCAAACAAGAAAUGAAAGAGAGGCUAAACAAGAAAAAGGAUUGAUCUCACGAUGUUCCACAGGAAAGCAUAACGAAAUUCCAAAUAUAUGUAAGUAGAAACAUGUUAACAAAUAUUUUUCCAAUUUUAUGGGAAAUAUAUAUCAAAGCGAGCGCCAAGAACAUGCAGUGUAAGAAAGAAUAAGUAAAUGAAAAAAUAAAUAUUAACUUCAUGGAAGAUUGUUUGCAAUCGAGUUGCACAGAUAAUACAAAGAUGCACUCACAAAUAAGAUGAAUAGCGAUCCGAGGUUAUUUUUAGUACCAAAACCAAUCGGACGCUUUUGUACAAAUAUUAAAUGAAUAUAUGUCGAAAAGAGUACGGUUAAUCUAGUGGUACAUUUGAUGGUAUCAGUUAAAUACACAUUAAACAUAUACAUCAAGCAUUCAUAUAUCGUGUAGUAAAAAAAGGGGGAUAUUGAUGAUAUUAAUAAAAAGAACUGUGUGAUCUUCAAGUACCAUUUUUUCACCGUACUCUUAGCGACCGUUAAAAACGAACACAAUUAUAGUUUAUCUAUAAAAACAAAUCAGAGGAAUUAGCUGCUAAUCGUGUAUGUGUAUAUGUAUGUAUAUCUGUAUUAUCUAUUGAAUUUUAAACGUUAAUAUUCGGAUGCCGCAUGCAUCUAUUUCUAUCGUGCGAUUAAUAAUAACGAUUUCGAAAGUGAAAAGUACGAAAAUUAAAGAAAAUCCACAACACAAAGAAAAAUACCAAAACAGCACUCGUAUACAGUUUAUUAUUCUGAGAGGUUAUUUACUUUUUUCGAGUCCUUGUAUAAUUAUUACAUCGUCGUCUAUUGUACUUGUAGUCAUGUGUACCAUUGUUUUUUAUAUAUGAUUCUGUACAUAUGCGUUUAAAAUAUUAGACACGCGCAAAUAGCUAUUACGGAGUUGCGCCCGAAUUUAAAACAAAAAAAAGAAAAGAAACGAAAAAAAGAUGAAUGAUAUGAAGA